rnacentral:rRNA from 1 species
UACAGAGGGUGCGAGCGUUUAAUCGGAAUUACUGGGCGUAAAGCGUGCGUAGACGGUUAUUUAGGUCGGGUGUGAAAUCCCCGGGCUCAACCUGGGAACUGCAUUUGUGACUGCACGGCUAGAGUGUGUCAGAGGGGGGUAGAAUUCCACGUGUAGCAGUGAAAUGCGUAGAUAUGUGGAGGAAUACCGAUGGCGAAGGCAGCCCCCUGGGAUAACACUGACGCUCAUGCACGAAAGCGUGGGGAGCAAACAGG